GUUUAACAAAAAUAGAAUACACAGUUAUAAGUGAAUCAGAAUUUAUUUCAAUCUCACGAAGGAGUUUCGGGGAUUACACGGUUCUCAUAAUGUAUCACCUUGCUGUGCAAAGGCUGCUUCCUGCUGCAGGGCGGUGUAGGGAAAGCUGCUUUUAUUCAUACGAGGAGACUUUUGCAUCAGCAAAUGAACGAUAUUACAGCUCUUAUGCGUUAGCCUUUCGGUAGCUUGACACGGGAAAGAAGGAAUUAGAGCAGUGUGUUAAAGGACGAGGUCUGCUUUCUUGCAUCUCAAGCGGUGGUAGAUUUGCAGAAUAGGCCUGCGAAGCAAUGUGCAGAGCACGAUGUUCAUUUUCAUAUGUCAGUAUGCGUCUGCACUGGAGACUGUCUUUCAGGAUCAUUUAGAUGAAAAGAUUAUAGUCAGAGCUCUUCCUUCAAAAACACACGCUAAAAAUAGUGGCAGGUACAAGAGGGUUUUUCUUCAAAGGACACGGUUAGAGAUUGCCAGAGCGGUGAACAAAGCCGGUUCUCUUGAGACAAGGAGAUACGGCAUCCUCAUUUCUCAACACAGUGCAUAUUUAUGGAACAGCAACAUCAGAAGGCACUGUGGAAUUAGAACUCUGACCUCUGGCUUUAGGAGAAGGCUGGUCCUGCAGUAAGUAAGCCUGGUGCUGGUGGUUUCCGCAAGCUUAUAAACAAUGCUCCACAUCUUAACCUCCUUCCCUCUGUCCCUUGCAAAUAUAUGCCAUGGAUAUAUACGUGACAUGUCACCAAGCUAUUUUAAGUCUUUCGUGACACCAGCAGAGAGGAGGAGGAGGAAGUUUGAGCAAAUGUGGGGGUGUAUUUUAUUCAAAUUCAGUUUACAUAGCUCCCGUGAGAAUGACAUGCUGCCGUGAAGAAUGGACAACUCAGAACACCACUCCGAAGCCCUGGGAAAAAAGUUCAUCUCUACAUUUGACUCCAUGGUCCUGUACUGGUGAAUGUGGCACCACUGGAGCGGUACUGCAGGAACCAUUGCUUUCCCAGAGCAGAUCACAAAAAGGUCUGCAGUGGUUCUUCUGAAGCAGUUUUUUAUGAAGGAGCAUUUGUAUGGACACCCGUGUUUUAGAUAAGAAACUGUGUGGUGAACACCACUGGAUAGUUAACACGAAAAUGAUUCAUUCCCACAGCACUGGCAAGUGCAGAGAUUUCCAAGCCCAGGCCCAAGCACGGAGGUUUUUUAAGCCUUAUUGAAGAGAGUGGGAAGUCUGUUAGAGUAAAAGGAAAGGCUCAUUCACCAAAUCUGGAUUGAGAAGGUCAGUAUGUAACUGUAGUAUUAGGGACUUCCUCCCAGACUCAUGGCCUGGAAGUAUGAGAGCAUUACCAGAAAACUCUUGUGAGACAAGUCAAAGAGAAGAUGAGGAGUGAUAUGCCACUCUGCCCAAGUGUCUUUGCUGCAAGCAAGGAAAUGAUCUGAAUAGGUGUGAUCAAGGCUCUGAGUUGUUUGCGGAGCGGAUAAUAUAUAGGCGGAAGAAAAGACACGAUACAUCUUCAUCGGGAAAAACUUUACAUGUUGGCUCUUCACCUGUCAUUUAUUCAUCACAAUUCUGAGUUGUGCACUGCAGCUGAUGGACAUAACACACCCUGAGCUCCACUGUAAAAUGCAGUUCCUUCUGCCUGUGUAAGCUGAAUUCAAGACCUGG
ensembl:lncRNA